rnacentral:rRNA from 1 species
AGUGAACGCUGGCGGUAGGCCUAACACAUGCAAGUCGAACGGCAGCACAGUAAGAGCUUGCUCUUACGGGUGGCGAGUGGCGGACGGGUGAGGAAUACAUCGGAAUCUACUUUUUCGUGGGGGAUAACGUAGGGAAACUUACGCUAAUACCGCAUACGACCUACGGGUGAAAGCAGGGGAUCUUCGGACCUUGCGCGAUUGAAUGAGCCGAUGUCGGAUUAGCUAGUUGGCGGGGUAAAGGCCCACCAAGGCGACGAUCCGUAGCUGGUCUGAGAGGAUGAUCAGCCCCACUGGAACUGAGCCACGGUCCAGACUCCUACGGGAGGCCGCAGUGGGGACUAUUGGACAAUGGGCGCAAGCCUGCUCCAGCCAUACCGCGUGGGUGAAGAAGGCCUUCGGGUUGUAAAGCCCUUUUGUUGGGAAAGAAAAGCAGCAGGUUAAUCCCCCGCUGUUCUGACGGUACCCAAAGAAUAAGCACCGGCUAACUUCGUG